GAGCUUCAUUACUUCAAAAGUACAUUACAAUUAACCAUAAUAGCCCCUCAUUUUAUGAAAUGAAUCUUGAGACAAAGCACUAAGCUUCGUGUGUCAUUGUAGUUAAGUCUGCAGGAAAAUGACAUACAAGCUUUCAACACCUUAAGAAAAAUUACUUACAUAAAAUAUAACAGACCAAAUGGUCAAGCAUAAGGAGUAACAUCAGUAGUAUUGACGAGCUGCUACAUAGCAAAGUUCUCCCAUCACCUCUUUGUUCAACUAACUAUACUGUGUCAUUAUAACAAGCUCUCUUGAAUGUCAGCAUUGCAUGUGGAGCUGCUUAAGGUCUCUUACUAAUUGCAAGUCACUUCCAUGGAUCUCACACAGGGAUGACACCACUUCCAAAGGAAGAAGAUUGGGGUAAAGACAUGGAGUCAUGAUCUUUUUCUACAUUUCUAACAUUUCUGUGGAUUUUAAAUUACUACUUAGAUCAAUUGAUGUUUUCAUCUAUUAUUGAGAAUUUAAUGGAUCCUCUUCUGUCUAUUGAUUAAACUUAAGGAUUUUCAGAUGAUGUAAAGUCACUGCAGUAGCAUGAAUUUCAGCAUUCUAAAGAUUUUCCACACUCCCUCUCAGCACCUAUAGCACCGAACCAAAGGACUUCACAAUAAAAUCAUGUUUUCUUCUACUUCCACUGAAAAAAACAGGUCCACCUGGCUGCUAGUCACUCCCUGCCCAUGUUACUCCAACACAAUGAAUGGACUUAAUAUUUUCUGAGCUGCCAUCUUGACCAGCAGGAAGGAUAUACAUGCUCAUUACAUAUAUGUGAAGAUACAUGUUCAUAUAUGUGUGCCAAUACAAGAGUAUAAACCACUAAUCCAACAUAGUUAAUCCUCCGCAUAAAGCAGUAAUCCAACAAACCUAUAAAUCAAACAAAAUAGUUCAGUAUCUCUUCUUAGCUAUCCUUUCCAUUGAUGGAGUAAAAGAAACAACUCAAUAUUGAUCUGCAAGCCCUCUCUCCCAGCUGAUGAGUGGAAAAUUCAGCUGCAACAGCCACUUGGGCCUCUACACUUGAUGACUCUUCUUUUGUCCUGUAACUACCCUGUUAGAAGAAUUUUGUCUGUAGCUUUUCCUAAGGGGUCAAAAAGAAAUUCAGUGUGAUUAUACUGGGGCAAAUACAAUCCCUGAAUCUCUUUCACAUCAACCAAGAAGCUCUUCCAUCACUUAUGGCAGUGUCCCUCUCACUCUGCCAGCAAGCAACACCCUUUGUCAGGCCCCAUAAAGAAACAGUAAUCUAAGAUAAAAACCUCUUCUUUUCUGUCAGGAUUAAUAAAAAACAAAGCUGAAGCAUUCUGCUGACAAGGAUGAAAAGGUAAUAUUUAAAUUAGAGCAAAACCUAGUAUACACUGUAUGUAAUUUGAUUAAACAGAAAUCUCAGUGAUCAGUGUUAACAAGGGUCCACUUUGAUAAACAGAGAAACGUUAAACAAACUCUUCCCAAUUAAAAACGUGGCCAGACUGCCUGCUGCUGCGUUCAGUGAGAUGAGGGUGGCCUUCACGGAGGCGACUGCAGCAGCAGCAGCUGGCAGCCGCCCAGCGUGGCACGAGGGAGACGCGUCUCCCCUUGCUCAGGUACUUAUCAGCACCUCCAGCAGUGAGGCUGGUGCCGCAGAGCCCAAAUGAGCAGCUCCCCACUGCACCCCCAUGACAAGAGAGCUGGUGGCUACUCACUGUGUCUGAAUUACAAAUCCACUUGCAUGAAAUGGAUCCUGCCCAAUGCCAGAAAACAGACAAAGCCUAUGCAAAGAGUCAGCCCUCAGAAAGGAUAAAGCAGCUCCUAGAGGAGAAACAGUGAUUAAAUAAAGUCCUACAAAUGAUGCCAAUAAACAACUUUUCAAUUACCAAAGGACACCCAGGCAGCCAAAAAGAGGCUGCUAAAAGCUGUAAUCACACCACUCUACAGUACCCACUUCAAAAAGUACAGAAACAUAUAAUAUAUUUUGGCUGGAAAAGAACACGUAGAACAGACUAUUUAAGAAAAUUGCAACCUGCUACAAAAACAAGCUUGAGUGCCUUCUAUUUAAGAGAGUGGGGCUGCAUUUCAGAUCCCAUUUCUUACUUCAGGUGAAUUAUAUCUCUGAAUCACAGAGUAGUUAUCUGCCUGCAUCUGUUUUUCUUUGACACUAUUAUAUCCUCCUGUCCUUGACCCCUUCUGAGACUGACAGGCUCUGGGGAGUGCUAAUGGGGCUAAGUUUUCCAUGAAUAUUUGCUUGUAUUUAUAAAUGAAUUUACUUAAGCCACAUUAAUGUCAUUUGUGUAUUUGCUUUCUGGAAAAAACCAGUUCAUUUGGGGUUUGCUGGCAUGAAUGUUUACUAAAGUAAAUUCUAAAGAUGUAGCCAGAGGUAUUAGGAUCAGAAAGAGGCUUUUAAAAUGUACCGAAGUGUGUCAGUGCAUUUAUAUUUGCACAAGACAAAUGAUUCUCACUCAGCCAGCCAAGCAAGAGAAAGAAAAUUUGGAGGUCUCCUGACUAAUCACAAUUAACCAAUACAGCAUGAGGAAUAAGCGCGGAAAGCAGAAAACUGUUGGUAACGAAUCAAAACAGUUUCAUGUGUUCCCAAAUAGUAUUUCUGCAGAUUGGAUAGAUUCAAGGAUGCAAUAUGGUCACAGCCAACUAUGUAUAGAGAAGUCAAUACUGUAUUAGAAAAAGAAUUUGUGACAAAUCAUUAAUUGAGCUGAAAUAACCGAACCCAGAGUGUUUCACCAUUAGGUCAUUUGUAUGUACUCCAGCCACUAGGGUGAGAGCAAACAAGAACUUAACGUCACAAGGUGGCUGAUUAAUGGCUUAUCAAUUAAGACCCCAACAGGAAUUUUUUCCAUCAUAACGGCAUCUUGUAUCAUUUAUGUUCCUAGUAAAAAUUAUAGGCUGGUUUGUCACUGA